rnacentral:rRNA from 1 species
AUUGAACGCUGGCGGCAGGCCUAACACAUGCAAGUCGAGCGGUAGAGAGGUGCUUGCACCUCUUGAGAGCGGCGGACGGGUGAGUAAUGCCUAGGAAUCUGCCUGGUAGUGGGGGAUAACGCUCGGAAACGGACGCUAAUACCGCAUACGUCCUACGGGAGAAAGCAGGGGACCUUCGGGCCUUGCGCUAUCAGAUGAGCCUAGGUCGGAUUAGCUAGUUGGUGAGGUAAUGGCUCACCAAGGCGACGAUCCGUAACUGGUCUGAGAGGAUGAUCAGUCACACUGGAACUGAGACACGGUCCAGACUCCUACGGGAGGCAGCAGUGGGGAAUAUUGGACAAUGGGCGAAAGCCUGAUCCAGCCAUGCCGCGUGUGUGAAGAAGGUCUUCGGAUUGUAAAGCACUUUAAGUUGGGAGGAAGGGUCGUUACCUAAUACGUGACGAUUUUGACGUUACCGACAGAAUAAGCACCGGCUAACUCUGUGCCAGCCGCCGCCGUAAAAC